UACGAAGGGGGCUAGCGUUGUCCGGAAUUAUUGGGCGUAAAGAGCUCGUAGGCGGUCUGUUGCGUCGGCUGUGAAAACCCGGGGCUCAACUCCGGGCCUGCAGCCGAUACGGGCAGACUAGAGGUCGGCAGGGGAGACUGGAAUUCCUGGUGUAGCGGUGAAAUGCGCAGAUAUCAGGAGGAACACCGGUGGCGAAGGCGGGACGCUGGGCCGAUACUGACGCUGAGGAGCGAAAGCGUGGGGAGCAAACAGG
rnacentral:rRNA from 1 species